AUAUAUAUAUAUAUAGUGUGUGUGUGAACUAUAUUUCUGUGUAUUUCCAAUCGAAUUUCUAAUAUGUAUACAUUUAUAUAUAUUAGAAAUACACAGAAAUAUCAUACAUACAUAAAUAUAUCUGUGUGCCUAUUUAUAAACCUUUAAACUUACUAUGUCUGCAAAGUUGAUUGUUUUGGAUUAUGUGAAUGCAAAUGAAUGUACAAAGUAUGUACCAAUUGGAUUCCUCUCUAGUUCUCAUUUCACCCUUUUGAUCAAGAAUCUUAAAUUUAGUUAAUAAUGCCGUUUUUUUGGUUAUAAACUACUUGAUAUGCACAUAUAUUUUUAUUGUCAAUUUUGAUAUAAACAUCAUGAAUAAUUAUUUCUUUAAUAUUAUUAUUAUUUUAAAAUUGAUUUUGUAUAGCACAACUUGCAUGCUAACAGCAUACUCAGAGACCUAUGAUCCAAAAUCUUUUGUGAACCAGUGGGCGCUGUACCAGGUAGGAAGUUUCCAUGCUGCCUUUAGGCACUCCGCACAAUUCAGCUCGUAUCAGGAAUUGAACUCAAGCCCCCUAGGUAGCCAAAUAGUAUUUGCCACUGAGCCACACAUCCAAAGUUCCAGCACAAUGCCCAACAGCCUUUACUUCAACCAACUAAAGUCAGGUACCAAUUAGAGUUGGAUGGAUUCAGGGGCGUCUUAGAAAUCUCAAAAUAAAAAAUCUGUGUCUUCAGAGUCCUAAUUCUUGGUUCAAAAGCCAAGUGCUAUAUCAUUCGUGAUAUGAUUUAGCUUAAAUACAAUACAAAUUUCCAUUGAUUGAUGGAUGCUUAGAUUUUUUGUCACAAUUGAAAUUACUUAGAAACAAACAUACUGGUGCCAAGUAAAACUGGUGUUGCCAACUUUUGUUUCAUUUUGCUUGCAAUCAUCCCAUUAUAUGAACUUAAUGUCUAUGUUGAUUAGAAUGGUAAAGAUACACAAUUGUCUUUCACUUUGAUGCUCAAAAGUAUCAAAUAGAAAUUUGAUAUUCCUUGAUUCUGAUGUUUACUAUAACAAUACGCUUUGUAAUAUGUACAUUCACUUUCUGUUUGAGAAGUCAUAUUAUAUAGAUAUACUUUGAAUCAUUGUAGCAAAAGUUAAUUUGCCUUUGGGCCUGUCUUUUAUGUAUCCAAAGAAAAUGUUUUUGAUAGAAUUUAUAUUUGGUGCCUUACUAUUUAUGGUAUUAGACACUGAACUUAAUAGAUAUUAACUAAUAAAAUCCUUAUUUACAAUUGCACAUGAUUUGUUGUAUGUAGCC